AACUCUUUCCCUCUCUAUUCAGCUUCUCUCAUUUGCACCGAAAACCUAAUCCGAGUUAUUUUAUGAGGGGGCGACUGUUCACCUUGAUCUCUUCCAACCUCUCGACAGCGGCGGCUUCUUCUCCCCCGACCUCUUCUCAGGAACCUCUUCUCAUUCUCCCAUUUCCCAACUUCUUCUUCCUCUCUCUUUCUUUCUUUCUUUUUCUGAUUUUUUCUCUCCACCUCUCCGAUUUCAUUAACUCUCUACCCCAACACGGAACUCCACUGUUCACCAUCACUGUCUUCUCCAUUUGAACCCAUUAGCGGCAACAGAAACUUGAUAAUGGCAGUAACUGAGUUUAAGUUUGACACCUUCACAGUACUGCAUACACGGGUUUGACCACAAUAGCAACAGUUCUCGUCCCCAGCAUCGUGAAUCUAGGGCAUAUUACCGGUUGCAGCUUUGAUUUUCAACCUCUACGGGGAAAAGAGGUAAGGUGUAUGUGAGCUUCAUCGGUUGAGAGCUAUUACGAUUUACGAGGCAAGUAUCUAAAUCGACAGUUAAAAUUGUGAAUAACUGGUUUAAGUCCAACCCCUGUUCUUUUGUCUUCUCCACCGAACCUCUGCCCCAUUCUCUUCCUCUAUAACUCAUGGUGAUGCCUCCAUAGGUCAACAUCCUCUCUCCCUGUUGAGUCCAUAUGUAAAGCACAGUCCCAAUCCAACCUUCAUCAAAUCCAUCAAGUUGGUAUUCUCCCUUCAAAGGGGUCUGUUUACAUCGCCACGAUUGACCUAUGGCAGAGCACCGACAAUAAGAUCAAGCAAGAAGAGAUUUCUGUUGUGGCUAACUCCCGUGCUAGAAGUGCAAGCUAGUUUGCUCUCCACCCCAACUGAAUAAAGGAGCUGUUGCUUCCUCUCAUCGGAUGCUUAAUGUCACAAGCCCCAUUGCCAUUCGUUUUCAACGUCUGAGUAACCACCGUCCACCGACCCACUCUCAUGAAAUUUAAUCAAUAGCUUCAGCCCUUUGUCACAUUCAGGGGGAGAUUUGAAGGCACAUCCCAACAUCCUACUACAAUUCUCACAUUGGGAUAUACAUCGGUUUUCAUUCAAUGAGUGACUCAAAGCAUGGUUGGAGACAAUGAAUAUUUCUUUUAUAUUUAGAUUUUGUUUAUUUGAAGGUCAUCUUGUCUUUAAUAUGUAGCGAGGAAAAUUUGACAUUUGUAAUAUAUUUUUGUUGGUAGCACAAUGGAUGUAUCAAAUUAUACAUGGCAUGUAGUUUCUUAUUACAAUAUAUAAUUUUCAUUUGAUGUAUGAAUGAAAUAGACAUUGCUUUAA